ACCUCCCCUCCCCACGUUGCAGUCGGGUGCGGAGCGUGCUGUUUUGCCAGAAAGGAGGCUUUCUUCUCCAGGAAACAGCGGGAGGGAGAGUCUUUGUUGGAGUUUUCCCUUGCUUUAAUCGGUCUCCUGGAGCAGCAUUUGGAGCGGCUGGAGGUCGUGUUGGGUCGCUUGGAGCAUGAGGGCUUGAAGGCUAAAUUGGCGAAGUGCGCGUUCUUCCGGAAAGAGGUAAAGUAUCUAGGACAUGUUAUUUCUGCUCAGGGUGUUUCCACUGACCCAGGUAAGAUCGAGGCAGUUUCACAGUGGCGGUGUCCCACCAGUGCGUCUGAGCUACGCUCGU